GAUGAACGCUGGCGGCGUGCUUAACACAUGCAAGUCGAACGGAAAGGCUCCUGCUUGCAGGGGUACUCGAGUGGCGAACGGGUGAGUAACACGUGGGUGAUCUGCCCUGCACUUCGGGAUAAGCCUGGGAAACUGGGUCUAAUACCGGAUAGGACCACAUUUUGGAUGGUGUGGUGGAAAGUUUUUCGGUGUGGGAUGAGCUCGCGGCCUAUCAGCUUGUUGGUGGGGUAAUGGCCUACCAAGGCGUCGACGGGUAGCCGGCCUGAGAGGGGGUACGGCCACAUUGGGGCUGAGAUACGGCCCAGACUCCUACGGGGGGCAGCAGUGGGGAGUAUUGCACAAUGGGCGCAAGCCUGAUGCAGCGACGCCGCGUGGGGGAUGACGGCCUUCGGGGUGUAAACUCCUUUCGCUAGGGACGAAGCGUUUUUGUGACGGUACCUGGAGAAGAAGCACCGGCUAACUACGUG
rnacentral:rRNA from 1 species